AGUGAACGCUGGCGGUAGGCCUAACACAUGCAAGUCGAACGGCAGCACAGUAAGAGCUUGCUCUUACGGGUGGCGAGUGGCGGACGGGUGAGGAAUACAUCGGAAUCUACUUUUUCGUGGGGGAUAACGUAGGGAAACUUACGCUAAUACCGCAUACGACCUACGGGUGAAAGCAGGGGAUCUUCGGACCUUGCGCGAUUGAAUGAGCCGAUGUCGGAUUAGCUAGUUGGCGGGGUAAGGGCCCACCAAGGCGACGAUCCGUAGCUGGUCUGAGAGGAUGAUCAGCCACACUGGAACUGAGACACGGUCCAGACUCCUACGGGAGGCAGCAGUGGGGAAUAUUGGACAAUGGGCGCAAGCCUGAUCCAGCCGUACCGCGUGGGUGAAGAAGGCCUUCGGGUUGUAAAGCCCUUUUGUUGGGAAAGAAAAGCAGCAGGUUAAUACCCCGCUGUUCUGACGGUACCCAAAGAAUAAGCACCGGCUAACUUCGUG
rnacentral:rRNA from 1 species